rnacentral:tRNA from 1 species
CAGGGAGACAACAAAAUGUUAAAUAUUAUUAUUUUGUCACCUUAGGUCGAUCGGUAUCUCACGUUCUUAAAUCAACUAAGAAUUUCAUUUCCUAAGUUUUUCUAGGUCACACCCAUUAUUUUUCCUGGGCCAUUAGCUCAGGUGGUUAGAGCGCACCCCUGAUAAGGGUGAGGUCCCUGGUUCAAGUCCAGGAUGGCCCAUAUCUCUAUGUUGGGGGUAUAGCUCAGUUGGUAGAGCGCCUGCUUUGCAAGCAGGAUGUCAGCGGUUCGAGUCCGCUUACCUCCACUGAUCACCACCUCUUCCAUAAUUAAUUGAAAGGAAAUGUUUUGAGUUGUGAUCUAAUUCUGAACGAAUCUAGCUUCCUAAUGAAAUCAUUAAGAUGCUGGACUCAUUGAAUAAACUUCAUUGUUUUCAGAGAACCUUGACAACUGCAUAGAUUAUUUUUAAAGACAAUAAGCAUCUUUAAUGAUGCAGAUUUAUUAUUUGUGCGAAUGCAUUAAUAACAAUUCUAUUAAGCUGAUGCUUCAAUUUUGAAGUUAUU